GUGCCCGCUGGGUUGGCGGCCCCCAGAGAUGGGCAGGUGGGUUUACCUCCGUUUGGGUAAACGAGUUUCUAAACCUUGGAGAAAACGCUGCAGAUUGGCUUGCAAAGUUACCUUAGGCUGUAGAGGGAGGGUCCCCAAAAUACUCUUCGAGGGACAAACGCGUGCGCCCCCACGCCCUCCGCCAGGUGCCCCAGAGCUCCUGGAGCAAAGUUGAACAGAGAAGGUGCUGGUCCUUUUGAACAGCUAGUCCCGGGGCGUUUCGAAGGCUCCUGGCUUUCUUGUACCUACUCGAGGAAGACCAAAGACGUCGUGGCGGAAUGAGUUCGCUUGACCGUGGUGGUGACCUGCUUUUGUACCGUGUGCCAAUUUGGGCUUGUGAAUUUCAAAGCAGCCUUUCAAACGGGUUAAAAUUUUUAAAUUAAUGCGUGAAAAGAAGACAAGAGAAAGGGGGAAAAAAAAAAAAAGCCCUCUAGAUCUAGGAAGAAAAAGUGAAAAUUUUUUUUUAGAUUUUCUACUUAGAGCGUAGAAAAUUAAAGGCCUGACAGUUUGCUUAAAAUAGCUCUUUUUCGUGCUACAAAUAAUUUUUGUAGGAAAAACCGAGCUCUGUAGUCCAUUUCGAUUUUGAAAUGUCAUAAUUAAGGUUUUGUGCAUGCCUUUCUGUGAUAGAAAAAUCUGGUUGUCUUUAGUUCACUUUUUUUUUCUUUCACCCUUGAAAUCUGUGUCUCUUAAAAACUUUUUUUUUUUUUAAGCAAGCUCGUGGUAUGUGAUGUGGCACUUGAGGUAGAGUUUAUGAU
rnacentral:lncRNA from 1 species